UUGUUGGGAACUAAGCCAGUCCGACAAAAGAUGAUUGCCCGCUUGGCCUUGGUGGGAGGCACUAGCUCCACAUGUAUGGUAAGGAGGAUGCUUGCAACGGUUUUGACCAACGGCCUGGCCUGCAAGUUCAAUUGUGCAGGAAAAACCUGCACACAAAGGGAUGCCAAGCAGCCCUUCAAAGACACAGCCCUGCAAGACUGCAUGUUUGUUGCUUCUCGGCAGUGUGACCGCAAACUCACACAGCAGGCCUUCAGCGACAUUGU